UUUACCAAUGUCUAACUACAGUAACUAAAUGUUUGGUUUGAACAUGUAUUUUAAAGGUUGCCUUAGCUCAGCUAUUCCAGUAGCCCUAUCUUGAACAAACCCCCAGCCUAGACAAAACCUGCAGCUGAGAUUUGUUAGGGAGGGACUUCAUGUAUUUGUACAAAGCAUCGAGGCUGAAGACCUGACUAGGAGUGCUGGUGGGUGACUGCAGUUUAAGUGAUUCUUAUAGUUCUGUUUAAUUUCACUGUUCAGAAAAUGGAAGACAGAAAUCUGUGAUUUAGAGAUGAAACCUGCAAGCACUUCAGUGCCGAGUGAAACAGGAGGGGGAGCUCUCAGUACACCGGCCAACGAGGAAGGAUCGCUCCAGGCUGUUUCCCAAGACAGGAAAGAAGGAUCUGCUCUCACCCUGCUUUUCAGCUGGGAAAAGACCAUUCCAUGAAAGAAAUAUUUGGAGAACUGAGCUCAAAAAUUGAACUUGCUUGUCUUCCCUUCCACCGUAAAACCAGCUUCGCUUAAAACUAAUUGUAGAGUAGGAAAAAAACUUUGUUGGGAAGGAACAUGGAUGCAAAAAGACAAAAAAAAAAAAACCUGCAGCAAGUCUUCACAAAUGGAUGGCUGGGAGAAGGCAGGUGGGAGGCUGUGCCACAUGCAAGCAACCAACCAUCCAAUUUCAUUUCAAUAAUGUUUGUAAUUUUCUUCCUACUGGGGUGGCUGGAAGUACAGCUGCCCUAUAUUCGUGUCCAUGUGCCCAGCUUUUGGUGAAAAUGACCUUAACAAAUAAAACAUGAAACAAACGAUA